AUGACUGCAAAAAAUGAUCAUCACAAGGAACUUGAACAUGCUCUGGUUCUAUUUGAUAUAGUACUGCUCCUACUGUGCUUCCUUGUUGAAGAAGCUUCUGCAUUUGCAUAGCUGUAAUAUCCUCCAUUUGAUGCAGGGUAGAUUUCGGGCUAGUAAUACAAAAAGUUUGAGAGCCUUUUGAGAACUGCAUGUAUAACUUGUCGAAAUCCCACAAUAUUGGGCCAAAAGUUCGCAACCAUGGAACUCCUAGUACCAUUUCGCAACCACCCAAUGGAAUCACAUACAGGUCUGUUGUACAACUGUAACCCUGAAUCUUGAUGGUUGUUUGCGCCAAGGUCCCUUUGGUAGCCACACGACCACCAUCUGCAAUCUUGACAUUAAAAAUGUGACUUGUAUCUAACUGCCCUCUC
rnacentral:sRNA from 1 species